UUCCUCUCCUCUCUCCUAUUCUCUUCCCUUCUCUCUGUCCAGCACUCCAGUCCCUCAACGGCCACCGCUACUUCAAGGACUCCCCCGCAGAUCUGGAUCGAGGCCACCACCGAGUCUCCCUCGAGCGCCUCCUUCUUCCUCCCCCUUCUCAUUUUUCGUCUCUUCAUCCUUUCCAUGCCUCUGAGUUCCUUUUUUUCCCUUGCCCCAUGACGAGCAGGGAAGCCUCGCCACUACCGCCGCCACCACCACCACGGACGUCGUCACACCAUCGCCGCCUCCGAGUUCGCCGGCCGCCGGCGCCCGUCCUCCUGUACGACCGGCGCAGCGCCACUCUCUGCCUCAGACCAGGACUCCUCUUUGCAUUCGUUUUUAAUCUCAUCUCUGCAUCUCUGCUUUCUUUACCAAAGAUAUGCAGCCGAGCCAAUUGAGGAGCUCAGAGCUGCCGCCGUCAUGCCCACGUCAAGUUGCUGCGCAUCUCCACCUCCCAGCCUUGCUGAGGCAUGCCAAGGCGCUGCGUCGUCUGGACUCCUCUGCUACCUCCCAUCCGUGCCUCUGCUUCAGUCGCCAGCGAGCCGCUGCCUCGUCCGGCCGGCCUCCUCUGGUCCCAGAUUUGGUUUAGGCCACAACGGUGGUUGUUGCUGUCGAUUGUGCUCGCCUGAUUCGGAGUUUCCUUCACUCCAUCUUCCCUCUUGCCGAAUUAAUUGCUUCAUUAUGUUCCCCUCAUACGCUGCUUGAUUUCUGAUGCGGCAAAGUCGCGUGCGUAUAUAAAUUGAUUGAAUGGGAUGCAGAGGAGCGAGGUGGGACUAAAGCUCAACACGGGAGAUUGAGAAGCUUACGGCGGAGGAGGCCGAGGAGGACUCACGGCGGCGCACAGGGUCACAGCGGCGCCGCGGGUGGAAAGCGAGCGUCUGGAUAAGAUAAAAUAGAGGAUCGCGGGUUGAAUUCUUACAAAUAUAGGGGGGUCUUUGUAAAAACGAAACGUUUUCCCAGGUUGCCACUAAAACAGGGACUGCGGGUUGAUUUUUUAUAAACCGAGGGGCUUUUUCGCAAAACGCCAGCGACGACGGAC
rnacentral:rRNA from 1 species